rnacentral:tRNA from 1 species
GCGGGUAUAGUUCAGUUGGUAGAACACCUCCUUGCCAUGGAGGUCGUCGCGCGUUCGAGUCGCGUUACCCGCU